rnacentral:misc_RNA from 1 species
GUUAGAACUCCCUUUUAACGAGCUUACGUUUUCAAUAACAAUAGAUCCAAGAAAGAAUAGGCCCGUGACUCAAUCAUGGGUGAGAGAUCAUAACAUUAGCUUUCUCCAUUUCCUCAUGGAAUACACUUCAACUAUCCUCACAAAUCAAUCGUGUGCUUCUAAGCAUCAAUUGACUUCAUUCCUUUGAAAUGUACUCUAUCAAUAACUUUCUGAAAAAUACAUAUACAUCUACUGUUUGGAACAACUCAUUUGAAGAUAGUUCGUCAAUGAAUUUACCCCUUAGUUGCUGUUAAUGGUGCCCUUCAGUUGUGCAACCAUAAUACUGAGAUUUUUAAAAUAAGAAAUACCAAAGGGGCAAGAAAAAAAUAGAAAUUAUCUUAAACCAAUUAGAAAUUUUCACGUUACUGCAAAGUAUUUUACAUUAGUUGAGAAAACUAUUGUCUUAGGUUGGAUACACACCGACAUCUGCAAGAUGUACUUUAUCUCUCACAAUAGAAAUUUCAUCACUUGUUUCUUUUCUUAAACAAUCUUGAAAAUAAAUGGAAGACAAUCUUUCAUCACUUUUACCGAUGACUACUCUAAGUAUAUCCCUUGAGAAACAAGAUGGCUAUGGAACAAUUUAGUGCAUACAAAGAAGAAGCCCAAAUGGAAGUGAAAUUUGAGCAUCCAGAUCAUUAAUUCAGAAAAGGGAGGAAAAUAGACCGACACAGAUUUUUCCAGCAUUGUCAUACUCAGUAAAGUGGAGAGAUAGAAUAAAGAAACAGAACUCUGAUUGGAAUUUUGAAUUCUGUGCCAAGUGCCACUAGUUAAGGCCUUACCUGAAUUUUUCUAGGUAAUCACUUCUUAUAUCUAUUUGUCACAUUGGAUUUCCAUAAGAAAGUGAGCUCUCCUCCUCUCAAGUUAUCAAAAAGAUAUAAAACAAAAAUCAUUUUAUUGCAGAUUUUGGAGCAGCUUAUCUCCAAUUCAACUAGCAGAUGAACAGACUCAAAGGUCACAAAUUUUGGGUAAUCACCAACCAGAAAAGCAUACAGAUUUAGACUUGUGUUCCUGCCCCAUAUAGGCUUAUGGAACCCAUUGAAGUAAAACUUUUCAAGGAAUACCCUAAAUCAUCUAAAUCUCAAUAUCAACAUAUGCAUAUCUCAGCUUAGUCCUUCAAGUAGAUGAGGGAUGCGAGGAGGAUGUUAGUCAUAGGUUUAAAACCGGAUGGUUGAAAUAGAGAUGUGCCAUGAA